UGUUUCAAACAAUUUAGAGACACCGGCAAUAGGAGUAAUUUAUUUAAAGAAUAAGCAUGGAUAUCCUGUUGUUGGCUUAUUUUUUGUAGAAAAUAUUUAGUAUUUGACAGUCUGCUGAACACUUAAUGCUACUUUAUUCAUUUGCUGUGAGGUAAAUAUUCAUCCAUCCGUUGCAGGGUCAUGGUGGGGCUGGUACAUCCCAGACAGUUCGCCAGUCCACCACAGGUAACCACAGGGUAAGUUCUCCCUUGACCAGACCAGGUGCACUUGAGUAGCCAUGACAACGAGACAGAGUACUACAAUCAAAGGUGGAGUUGGCUGACCUUUGACCCAGGCCUGCUGUGAAGCACCUUGUUUAUUUUUAU